CCUACGGGAGGCAGCAGUGAGGAAUAUUGGUCAAUGGGCGCGAGCCUGAACCAGCCAAGUAGCGUGAAGGAUGACUGCCCUACGGGUUGUAAACUUCUUUUAUAAAGGAAUAAAGUGAGGCACGUGUGCCUUUUUGUAUGUACUUUAUGAAUAAGGAUCGGCUAACUCCGUUCCAGCAGCCGCGGUAAUACGGAGGAUCCGAGCGUUAUCCGGAUUUAUUGGGUUUAAAGGGAGCGUAGAUGGGUUGUUAAGUCAGUUGUGAAAGUUUGCGGCUCAACCGUAAAAUUGCAAUUGAUACUGGCAGUCUUGAGUACAGUUGAGGUAGGCGGAAUUCGUGGUGUAGCGGUGAAAUGCGUAGAGAUCACGAAGAACUCCGAUUGCGAAGGCAGCUUACUAAACUGCCACUGACAUUGAUGCUCGAAAGUGUGGGGAGCAAACAGGAUUAGAUACCCGAGUAGUC
rnacentral:rRNA from 1 species